AUGCAGGCCUGGCCUGGUGUUCAGAACACGAAUGUGAAAAAUCAGACCAGGAAGAUCCCGGGAAGAUCACGGGAGGGAGCUCAGGAAGCAUCUGGUUUGCAGAGCAUAGCACAGCAGCUUGUACCUGAGACUUCGACAAAUAUCUGGCCUGUUCCAGGUACCGAGAAUAUAGCAGCAAACACAGCAGACCAGAGCUCUAUCCUGGUGGAACUCACAUUCAAGUUCGGGAGAUAGUAAACCAAAAUACAUAGGAAAAAUAAACUGUUUUAUAUUAUCUG